UACGGAGGGUGCAAGCGUUAUCCGGAUUCACUGGGUUUAAAGGGAGCGUAGGUGGGAAUGUAAGUCAGUGGUGAAAUCUCCGUGCUUAACACGGAAAGGUCAACUGAUACUGCAGGGCUAGAGUGCAGAAGGGGCAACUGGAAUUCUCGGUGUAGCGGUGAAAUGCGUAGAUAUCGAGAGGAACACCUGCGGCGAAGGCGGGUUGCUGGGCUGACACUGACGCUGAUGUGCGAAAGCCAGGGGAGCGAACGGG
rnacentral:rRNA from 1 species